UGUGGUUUAAUUCGAUAGCAACGCGAAAACCUUACCUACCUUUGACAUGUCCAGAAUCCUGCAGAGAUGCGGGAGUGCCCGAAAGGGAAUUGGAACACAGGUGCUGCAUGGCUGUCGUCAGCUCGUGUCGUGAGAUGUUGGGUUAAGUCCCGCAACGAGCGCAACCCUUAUCAUUAGUUGCUACGCAAGGGCACUCUAAUGAGACUGCCGGUGACAAACCGGAGGAAGUGGGGAUGACGUCAAGUCCUCAUGGCCCUUAUGGGUAGGGCUUCACACGUCAUACAAUGGUCGGUACAGAGGGUUGCCAAGCCGCGAGGUGGAGCCAAUCCCAGAAAGCCGAUCGUAGUCCGAAUUGUUCUCUGCAACUCGAGAGCAUGAAGUCGGAAUCGCUAGUAAUCGCGGAUCAGCAUGUCGCGGUGAAUACGUUCCCGGGUCUU
rnacentral:rRNA from 1 species